rnacentral:rRNA from 1 species
GACGAACGCUGGCGGCGUGCUUAACACAUGCAAGUCGAACGGAAAGGCCCUGCUUUUGUGGGGUGCUCGAGUGGCGAACGGGUGAGUAACACGUGAGUAACCUGCCCUUGACUUUGGGAUAACUUCAGGAAACUGGGGCUAAUACCGGAUAGGAGCUCCUGCGGCAUGGUGGGGGUUGGAAAGUUUCGGCGGUUGGGGAUGGACUCGCGGCUUAUCAGCCUGUUGGUGGGGUAGUGGCUUACCAAGGCUUUGACGGGUAGCCGGCCUGAGAGGGUGACCGGCCACAUUGGGACUGAGAUGCGGCCCAGACUCCUACGGGAGGCAGCAGUGGGGAAUAUUGCACAAUGGGCGGAAGCCUGAUGCAGCAACGCCGCGUGCGGGAUGACGGCCUUCGGGUUGUAAACCGCUUUCGCCUGUGACGAAGCGUGAGUGACGGUAAUGGGUAAAGAAGCACCGGCUAACUACGUG